rnacentral:lncRNA from 1 species
CGGUAAACCGGCUGAUAACGGCCGCAGUGUGUGAAGCCCGCAGGCAUCGACUGUUUCCCGGUCAGCUGGUCCCCUUCAUCCGGUGCGUUUGAGCUCAGAGCUGCAGGCAGAGAGGUGAUGUAAGAGCAGGAGAGGAGCUUUAACCAGAGCACAGAGCACAGACAGCAGCCUGCAGGUGCUUCAUCACCAAAUCAAGACAUCUCACUGUAGCAGGACACGGUGCGGUCACAUGGUGCAGCCAGAGCUGAGCCCUGUGCUGCCUUGAUCGACACAUAGUUGCCAUGG